rnacentral:rRNA from 1 species
AUUGAACGCUGGCGGCAGGCCUAAUACAUGCAAGUCGAGCGAGUGGCGGACGGGCGAGCAAUGGCUGGGAAACUGCCUGAUGGAGGGGGAUAACGAGUGGAACCGGUAGCUAAUACAGCAUACCAUGGGAUGUGGCCAGAUGGGAUUAGCUAGUGGGGGGGGUAACGGCUCAACUAGGAGACGAUCCCUAGCUGGUCUGAGAGGAUUACCAGCCACACUGGAACUGAGACACGGUCCAGACUCCUACGGGAGGCAGCAGUGGGGAAUAUUCGACAAUGGGCGCAAGCCUGAUGCAGCCAUGCCGCGUGUGUGAAGAAGGCCUUCGGGUUGUAAAGCACUUUCAGCGGGGAGGCGUUACCUGCAGAAGAAGCACCGGCUAACUCCGUGCCAGCCGCCGCGGUAAUUC